rnacentral:rRNA from 1 species
GAAGGGCUCGAGCGUUAAUCAGAAUCACUGGGCUUAAAGCGUACGCAGGCGGACGCGCAGGCAUCUUGUGAAAUCCCUCGGCUCAACCGAGGAACUGCGGGGUGAACCGCGUGUCUUGAGGCAAGUAGGGGCUGUCGGAACGCUAGGUGGAGUGGUGAAAUGCGUUGAUAUCUAGCGGAACGCCAAAGGAGAAAUCAGGCAGCUGGGCUUGUUCUGACGCUGAGGUACGAAAGCGUGGGGGGAGCGAACGGGAUUAGAUACCCCGGUAGUCCACGCCGUAAACGAUGUGCACUAGAUCGAGGGGGUUCUGACACCAUUCUCGGUCGAAGCGAAAGUGUUAAGUGCACCGCCUGGGAGUACGGUCGCAAGGCUA